AGUACCGUCUAUAUACGAUCUUGUAGUCCUAAUACCGUCUAUAUACUAUCCUAUAACCCUAAUACCGUCUACAUACUACCCUAUAAUCCUAAUACCAUCUAUAUACUAUCCUAUAGCCCUAAUACCAUCUACAUACUAUCCUAUAGCCCUAAUACCAUCUACAUACUACCCUAUAACCAUCUACAUACUAUCUUAUAGGCCUAUUACCUUCUACAUACUAUCCUAUAGCCCGAAUACCGUCUACAUACUAUCUUAUAGGCCUAUUACCUUCUACAUACUAUCCUAUAACCCUAAUACCAUCUACAUACUAUCCUAUAGGCCUAAUACCGUCUACAUACUAUCCUAUAGCCCUAAUACCAUCUACAUACUAUCCUAUAACCCUAAUACCGUCUACAUACUACCCUAUAAUCCUAAUACCAUCUAUAUACUAUCUUAUAGGCCUAUUACCUUCUACGUACUAUCCUAUCGCCCUAAUACCGUCUACAUACUAUCCUAUAGCCCUAAUACCAUCUACAUACUAUCCUAUAGCCCUAACACCAUCUACAUACUAUCUUAUAGGCCUAAUAUGUCUACAUACUAUCCUAUAGCCCUAAUACCAUCUACAUACUAUCCUAUAGCCCUAAUACCAUCUAUAUACUAUCCUAUAGCCCUAACACCAUCUACAUACUAUCUUAUAGGCCUAAUACCGUCUACAUACUACCCUAUAACCCUAAUACCAUCUACAUACUAUCCUAUAGCCCUAAUACCGUCUACAUACUAUCCUAUAAACCUAAUACCAUCUACAUACUAUCCUAUAGCCCUAACACCAUCUACAUACUAUCUUAUAGGCCUAAUACAGUCUACAUACUGUCCUAUAGCCCUAAUACCAUCUACAUACUACCCUAUAGGCCUAAUACAGUCUACAUACUACCCUAUAACCCUAAUACCGUCUAUAUACUAUCCUAUAGCCCUAAUACCAUCUACAUACUAUCCUAUAGCCCUAAUACUAUCUACAUACUUUCCUAUAGGCCUAAUACCAUCUACAUACUAUCCUAUAGCCCUAAUACCAUUUACAUACUAUCCUAUAGACCUAAUAUUGUCUACAUACUACCCUAUAACCCUAAUACAGUCUAUAUACACUAUCCUAUAACCCUAAUACAGUCUAUAUACUAUCCUAUAACCCUAAUACAGUCUCUAUACUAUCCUAUAACCCUAAUACCGUCUAUAUGCUAUCCUAUAGCCCUAAUACCAUUUACAUACUAUCCUAUAGGCCUAAUACCAUCUACAUACUACCCUAUAACCCUAAUACAGUCUAUAUACUAUCCUAUAGCCCUAACACCAUCUACAUACUAUCCUAUAGCCCUAAUACCAUCUACAUACUAUCCUAUAGCCCUAACACCAUCUAUAUACUAUCCUAUAGCCCUAAUACCAUCUACAUACUACCCUAUAACCAUCUACAUACUAUCCUAUAGCCCUAAUACCGUCUACAUACUAUCCUAUAGCCCUAACACCAUCUACAUACUAUCCUAUAGCCCUAACACCAUCUAUAUACUAUCCUAUAACCCUAAUACCAUCUAUAUACUAUCCUAUAGCCCUAAUACCAUCUAUAUACUAUCCUAUAGCCCUAACACCAUCUACAUACUAUCUUAUAGCCCUAUUACCGUCUACAUACUAUCCUAUAACUCUAAUACAGUCUACAUACUAUCCUAUAACUCUAAUACAGUCUACAUACUAUCCUAUAACCCUAAUACCAUCUACAUACUAUCCUAUAACUCUAAUACAGUCUACAUACUAUCCUAUAACCCUAAUACCAUCUAUAUACUAUCCUAUAACCCUAAUACCAUCUAUAUACUAUCCUAUAACCCUAAUACCAUCUACAUACUACCCUAUAACCCUAUUACCGUCUACAUACUACCCUAUAACCCUAAUACCAUCUACAUACUACCAUAUUGCCCUAUUACCGUCUAUAUACUAUCCUAUAGGCCUCAACCCUCUCCAUGCCCUUGACUGUACCUUGGUGUCGAAGUCUUGAUGCUGGCUAUAAAGUGCUUCCAUUGUGGAUACUGACAGACUCGGGACCUGGUGGUAGUUGGCAAGAUACAGUGUGUGUGUCUGCUCAUUACCUUUAGCAUUUUAGAAUACUAGCAUUUUUUACUG
rnacentral:lncRNA from 8 species